rfam:Caenorhabditis japonica strain DF5081 Contig18161.16, whole genome shotgun sequence.
AAUGGUUCCCUAGUAAGAUCAAAGUGUAGUAUCUGUUCUUAUCGUAUUAACCUACGGUAUACACUCAAAUGGGUGUAAUAAAGGUUAUGUGAUUUUUGGAACCUAGGGAAGACUCGGGGCUUGCUCCGACUUCCCAAGGGUCGUCCCGGCGUAGGGGGACAAAAAACAGGCAAAUUAUCAUCACCUACCUUUU